rnacentral:rRNA from 1 species
ACACAUGCAAGUCGAGGGAGGAGCUUUCGGGCUUCGACCGGCGUACGGGUGCGUAACGCGUAUACAAUCUGCCUUUCACAUAGGGAUAGCCCGAAGAAAUUUGGAUUAAUACCUAAUGGUAUAUAGGGAUGGCAUCAUUUUUAUAUUAAAGCUGAGGUGGUGAAAGAUGAGUAUGCGUUCUAUUAGCUAGUUGGAGAGGUAACGGCUCCCCAAGGCGACGAUAGAUAGGGGUUCUGAGAGGGAUAUCCCCCACACUGGUACUGAGAUACGGACCAGACUCCUACGGGAGGCAGCAGUGAGGAAUAUUGGACAAUGGUCGGAAGACUGAUCCAGCCAUGCCGCGUGCAGGAAGACGGCCUUAUGGGUUGUAAACUGCUUUUGCAGGGGAAGAAUAAGGACUACGUGUAGUUUGAUGACGGUACUCUGCGAAUAAGCAUCGGCUAACUCCGUGCCAGCAGCCGCGGUAAUACGGAGGAUGCGAGCGUUAUCCGGAAUCAUUGGGUUUAAAGGGUCCGUAGGCGGGCUAAUAAGUCAGAGGUGAAAGCGCUCAGCUCAACUGAGCAACUGCCUUUGAAACUGUUAGUCUUGAAUGGUUGUGAAGUAGUUGGAAUGUGUAGUGUAGCGGUGAAAUGCUUAGAUAUUACACAGAACACCGAUAGCGAAGGCAUAUUACUAACAAUUAAUUGACGCUGAUGGACGAAAGCGUGGGGAGCGAACAGGAUUAGAUACCCUGGUAGUCCACGCUGUAAACGAUGGAUACUAGCUGUUUGGU